AACGGAAAAAGUGUUCUCAUUUGCCACAAGAGGGGUGCAAACGAAUUUCAGAUCAUAGUUUUCGCUUGACUUCAAAUGAUGAGAAAAAAAUAAAUUAAUUGGUUACAAAAAAAGUUAUGACUGAAAGUAAAUUGUAUCGAAUUUGUAUUUCUCUACUAAUUUAAGAUAGCAUUUAAAUUGCUUGUAUAUUUAGACUUAAUUUCUUGACCUAUCUAGAAAUUCCUCAUUUAUUUAUUCAAUAGCUUUUAUUCAUAAGUGAUUCUGUCCGACCAAGUGUGAUCAGGUCCAUGUCGGUUUCAAACCACAAGGAGUAUGGUGUUUGGAUCUUAUAAAAUGACUUACCAAACAAGAUGGGAGCCACGAAGAUCAUACUGUGUUCUGCUCUCGUGUUUGUUGUAUUUUCCGCCAUAGCUGAAGCUGGCGGUUAUGGUGCCAACGUGCGAGGUAUUGGUGGGUACUAUCAACCCUCGCAGCAGGUAUAUGCCUACUACCAACCUGCCCGCGUUCAGUAUUACACUCCUGGUAUGUAUGGAGGAUACAACACUGGAAUUAGCGGGUCAGGCAAUGCAAUGGGAUCCGUGUUUCCUCUUCUUAUCAUCUUCCUCCUGUGUGCUAUCUUUGCUCCCAUGUUGAUUGGAAGUCUCAUCUUUUCAAAUGAUGUUGUGUAUAGUAAUAGCAAAUAAAAGAUGAACCGGAAAAGGGAAAAUCGAUAGGACUAGCCCGCAAUUCACAUUGUAUAUAAUCUCAAAAUAAAGUGCAUGACACAAUUCCAAAAA